UUCUCCGCCUCCUUCCCUCGCGUGCCCAUUUCCUCACCCGACCCAUGCCCUACGGUGCCAAUGCCGCCCAACCGACGCACCAACUCCGCCAACGCUUGCGACGCCUCCUCUCCUCCCCUAUGCGUACAAAAGCUUCGAGCCGAGCCUUUACCUUGCGUCGAUUCUCUUCCUCUUAGCCUCUGCCCCGAUCAUCCUUGCGCCGACGCGAAGCCCUAGAGCUCGAGCCACCGCCCGAUCGUCGGAAGGAAGGGCCACAAUCGAUGCCCUAGGUGUCGCCCUCUUCCUCUGCAGUGCGUCGUCGCCGCACGGAACAGCGCCGGCCACCUCCUUGCGAUGCCCUAGCUUCCGACUCCAGCCUCUGUCGAUCUACCGCCUGAUCUACCCUCCAGCCAGCUGCCGACGAUUCAACUCGAGUUGGUAUUCUACAGAUAUCUGAUUUGGGGCAUUCGUUGGGUGGUCAGCAGUGUCAUCCAACUCCGACCACCAAACUUACAGCAUCAAACUUCUCCGAUCGCGGGUCAGCAUUAGCACGAUCGAAGUAGGAUUCGGAUUCGAGACGAGCACUUCGACAUAGAGGUUGAUUAGCUCUAUCUAUAUUGGAGG